rnacentral:rRNA from 1 species
CCUACGGGGGGCAGCAGUGGGGAAUAUUGCACAAUGGGCGCAAGCCUGAUGCAGCCAUGCCGCGUGUGUGAAGAAGGCCUUCGGGUUGUAAAGCACUUUCAGCGGGGAGGAAGGCGUUAAGGUUAAUAACCUUGUCGAUUGACGUUACCCGCAGAAGAAGCACCGGCUAACUCCGUGCCAGCAGCCGCGGUAAUACGGAGGGUGCAAGCGUUAAUCGGAAUUACUGGGCGUAAAGCGCACGCAGGCGGUCUGUCAAGUCGGAUGUGAAAUCCCCGGGCUCAACCUGGGAACUGCAUUCGAAACUGGCAGGCGAGAGUCUGGUAGAGGGGGGUAGAAUUCCAGGUGUAGCGGUGAAAUGCGUAGAGAUCUGGAGGAAUACCGGUGGCGAAGGCGGCCCCCUGGACAAAGACUGACGCUCAGGUGCGAAAGAGUGGGGAGCAAACAGGAUUAGAGACCCGUGUAGUC